rnacentral:rRNA from 1 species
AAACAUCGCCCCUCGUAAUUAUGGGGGGUCCAGCCUGCCCAGUGACACAUGUUAAACGGCCGCGGUAUACUAACCGUGCGAAGGUAGCGCAAUCACUUGUCCCCUAAAUAGGGACUUGUAUGAAUGGCAUCACGAGGAUUUAACUGUCUCCUUUUCUUAAUCAGUGAAACUAAUCUCCCUGUGAAAAAGCAGGGGUACUUAUACAAGACGAGAAGACCCUAUGAAGCUUUAAACACCUUAACAAGUGCUCCCAACACUCCUUUCAGAAGCCCUAUAAAUAGCACAUUGAUUAUAAGUUUUUGGUUGGGGUGACCGCGGAGAAUAACCAAACCCCCGCACUGACGAAUCUAAUAUUCAAAACUAAAAGUCACAACUUUACAAAUCAACAAAUUGACACAAUUGACCCAAAUAUUUGAUCAAUGAACCAAGUUACUCUAGGGAUAACAGCGCAAUCCACUUCAAGAGCACAUAUCGACAAGUGGGCUUACGACCUCGAUGUUGGAUCGGGGUAUCCCAGUGGUGCAGCCGCUACUAAAGGUUCGUUUGUUCAACGAUUAAAACCCCACG